GACGAACGCUGGCGGCGUGCUUAACACAUGCGAGUCGAACGGAAAGGCCCUGCUUUUGUGGGGUGCUCGAGUGGCGAACGGGUGAGUAACACGUGAGUAACCUGCCCUUGACUUUGGGAUAACUUCAGGAAACUGGGGCUAAUACCGGAUAGGAGCUCCUGCUGCAUGGUGGGGGUUGGAAAGUUUCGGCGGUUGGGGAUGGACUCGCGGCUUAUCAGCUUGUUGGUGGGGUAGUGGCUUACCAAGGCUUUGACGGGUAGCCGGCCUGGGAGGGUGACCGGCCACAUUGGGACUGAGAUACGGCCCAGACUCCUACGGGACGCAGCAGUGGGGAAUAUUGCACAAUGGGCGGAAGCCUGAUGCAGCAACGCCGCGUGCGGGAUGACGGCCUUCGGGUUGUAAACCGCUUUCGCCUGUGACGAAGCGUGAGUGACGGUAAUGGGUAAAGAAGCACCGGCUAACUACGUG
rnacentral:rRNA from 1 species